rnacentral:rRNA from 1 species
UACGUAGGGUGCAAGCGUUAAUCGGAAUUACUGGGCGUAAAGCGUGCGCAGGCGGUUGUGCAAGACAGGUGUGAAAUCCCCGGGCUUAACCUGGGAACUGCACUUGUGACUGCACAGCUGGAGUGCGGCAGAGGGGGAUGGAAUUCCUGGUGUAGCGGUGAAAUGCGCAGAUAUCAGGAAGAACACCGAUGGCGAAGGCAGUUCUCUGGGACGGUACUGACGCUGAGACGCGAAAGCGUGGGGAGCGAACAGG